rnacentral:ncRNA from 1 species
GAGGUAGAGGUCGCGAUUGUGAAGAGUACACCGGUGGAGGCGCUAAGAAGCCGCCUUGGAGCCCGGUGGAAAGGCACUGUCGCCGAAGCUUGGUUGCCCGCUUCUUAUGGCAUCCCGGCUGGGACUGUCUCCGAAAGGAACAGGACUGUCACGUCAUUCCCCUCACCCGGGAAUACGUGUUGAGCUAU